GACGAACCGUGCAAACGUUAUUCGGAUUCACUGGGCUUAAAGGGCGUGUAGGUGGUAGAGUAAGUCUGGCGUGAAAUUUUUCGGCUUAACCGGGAAAGGUCGUCGGAUACUGCUUAACUAGAGGACGGUAGAGGCGUGUGGAAUUCCGGGUGUAGUGGUGAAAUGCGUAGAGAUCCGGAGGAACACCAGUGGCGAAGGCGACACGCUGGGCCGUACCUGACACUGAUGCGCGACAGCAUGGGGAGCAAACAGG
rnacentral:rRNA from 1 species